rnacentral:rRNA from 1 species
GGGUUGUGAGGUUAAGCGACUAAGCGUACACGGUGGAUGCCCUGGCAGUCAGAGGCGAUGAAGGACGUGCUAAUCUGCGAUAAGCGUCGGUAAGGUGAUAUGAACCGUUAUAACCGGCGAUUUCCGAAUGGGGAAACCCAGUGUGUUUCGACACACUAUCAUUAACUGAAUCCAUAGGUUAAUGAGGCGAACCGGGGGAACUGAAACAUCUAAGUACCCCGAGGAAAAGAAAUCAACCGAGAUUCCCCCAGUAGCGGCGAGCGAACGGGGAGCAGCCCAGAGCCUGAAUCAGUGUGUGUGUUAGUGGAAGCGUCUGGAAAGGCGCGCGAUACAGGGUGACAGCCCCGUACACAAAAAUGCACAUGCUGUGAGCUCGAUGAGUAGGGCGGGACACGUGGUAUCCUGUCUGAAUAUGGGGGGACCAUCCUCCAAGGCUAAAUACUCCUGACUGACCGAUAGUGAACCAGUACCGUGAGGGAAAGGCGAAAAGAACCCCGGCGAGGGGAGUGAAAAAGAACCUGAAACCGUGUACGUACAAGCAGUGGGAGCCUCUUUAUGGGGUGACUGCGUACCUUUUGUAUAAUGGGUCAGCGACUUAUAUUCUGUAGCAAGGUUAACCGAAUAGGGGAGCCGAAGGGAAACCGAGUCUUAACUGGGCGUUAAGUUGCAGGGUAUAGACCCGAAACCCGGUGAUCUAGCCAUGGGCAGGUUGAAGGUUGGGUAACACUAACUGGAGGACCGAACCGACUAAUGUUGAAAAAUUAGCGGAUGACUUGUGGCUGGGGGUGAAAGGCCAAUCAAACCGGGAGAUAGCUGGUUCUCCCCGAAAGCUAUUUAGGUAGCGCCUCGUGAAUUCAUCUCCGGGGGUAGAGCACUGUUUCGGCAAGGGGGUCAUCCCGACUUACCAACCCGAUGCAAACUGCGAAUACCGGAGAAUGUUAUCACGGGAGACACACGGCGGGUGCUAACGUCCGUCGUGAAGAGGGAAACAACCCAGACCGCCAGCUAAGGUCCCAAAGUCAUGGUUAAGUGGGAAACGAUGUGGGAAGGCCCAGACAGCCAGGAUGUUGGCUUAGAAGCAGCCAUCAUUUAAAGAAAGCGUAAUAGCUCACUGGUCGAGUCGGCCUGCGCGGAAGAUGUAACGGGGCUAAACCAUGCACCGAAGCUGCGGCAGCGACGCUUAUGCGUUGUUGGGUAGGGGAGCGUUCUGUAAGCCUGUGAAGGUGUGCUGUGAGGCAUGCUGGAGGUAUCAGAAGUGCGAAUGCUGACAUAAGUAACGAUAAAGCGGGUGAAAAGCCCGCUCGCCGGAAGACCAAGGGUUCCUGUCCAACGUUAAUCGGGGCAGGGUGAGUCGACCCCUAAGGCGAGGCCGAAAGGCGUAGUCGAUGGGAAACAGGUUAAUAUUCCUGUACUUGGUGUUACUGCGAAGGGGGGACGGAGAAGGCUAUGUUGGCCGGGCGACGGUUGUCCCGGUUUAAGCGUGUAGGCUGAUUUUCCAGGCAAAUCCGGAAAAUCAAGGCUGAGGCGUGAUGACGAGGCACUACGGUGCUGAAGCAACAAAUGCCCUGCUUCCAGGAAAAGCCUCUAAGCAUCAGGUAACAUCAAAUCGUACCCCAAACCGACACAGGUGGUCAGGUAGAGAAUACCAAGGCGCUUGAGAGAACUCGGGUGAAGGAACUAGGCAAAAUGGUGCCGUAACUUCGGGAGAAGGCACGCUGAUAUGUAGGUGAAGUCCCUCGCGGAUGGAGCUGAAAUCAGUCGAAGAUACCAGCUGGCUGCAACUGUUUAUUAAAAACACAGCACUGUGCAAACACGAAAGUGGACGUAUACGGUGUGACGCCUGCCCGGUGCCGGAAGGUUAAUUGAUGGGGUCAGCGCAAGCGAAGCUCUUGAUCGAAGCCCCGGUAAACGGCGGCCGUAACUAUAACGGUCCUAAGGUAGCGAAAUUCCUUGUCGGGUAAGUUCCGACCUGCACGAAUGGCGUAAUGAUGGCCAGGCUGUCUCCACCCGAGACUCAGUGAAAUUGAACUCGCUGUGAAGAUGCAGUGUACCCGCGGCAAGACGGAAAGACCCCGUGAACCUUUACUAUAGCUUGACACUGAACAUUGAGCCUUGAUGUGUAGGAUAGGUGGGAGGCUUUGAAGUGUGGACGCCAGUCUGCAUGGAGCCGGCCUUGAAAUACCACCCUUUAAUGUUUGAUGUUCUAACGUGGACCCGUAAUCCGGGUUGCGGACAGUGUCUGGUGGGUAGUUUGACUGGGGCGGUCUCCUCCUAAAGAGUAACGGAGGAGCACGAAGGUUGGCUAAUCCUGGUCGGACAUCAGGAGGUUAGUGCAAUGGCAUAAGCCAGCUUGACUGCGAGCGUGACGGCGCGAGCAGGUGCGAAAGCAGGUCAUAGUGAUCCGGUGGUUCUGAAUGGAAGGGCCAUCGCUCAACGGAUAAAAGGUACUCCGGGGAUAACAGGCUGAUACCGCCCAAGAGUUCAUAUCGACGGCGGUGUUUGGCACCUCGAUGUCGGCUCAUCACAUCCUGGGGCUGAAGUAGGUCCCAAGGGUAUGGCUGUUCGCCAUUUAAAGUGGUACGCGAGCUGGGUUUAGAACGUCGUGAGACAGUUCGGUCCCUAUCUGCCGU